rnacentral:rRNA from 1 species
GAUGAACGCUGGCGGCGUGCCUAAUACAUGCAAGUCGAGCGAACGGACGAGAAGCUUGCUUUUCUGAUGUUAGCGGCGGACGGGUGAGUAACACGUGGAUAACCUACCUAUAAGACUGGGAUAACUUCGGGAAACCGGAGCUAAUACCGGAUAAUAUUUUGAACCGCAUGGUUCAAAAGUGAAAGACGGUCUUGCUGUCACUUAUAGAUGGAUCCGCGCUGCAUUAGCUAGUUGGUAAGGUAACGGCUUACCAAGGCAACGAUGCAUAGCCGACCUGAGAGGGUGAUCGGCCACACUGGAACUGAGACACGGUCCAGACUCCUACGGGAGGCGGCAGUAGAGAAUCUUCCGCAAUGGGCGAAAGCCUGACGGAGCAACGCCGCGUGAGUGAUGAAGGUCUUCGGAUCGUAAAACUCUGUUAUUAGGGAAGAACAUAUGUGUAAGUAACUGUGCACAUCUUGACGGUACCUAAUCAGAAAGCCACGGCUAACUACGUGCCAGCAGCCGCGGUAAUACGUAGGUGGCAAGCGUUAUCCGGAAUUAUUGGGCGUAAAGCGCGCGUAGGCGGUUUUUUAAGUCUGAUGUGAAAGCCCACGGCUCAACCGUGGAGGGUCAUUGGAAACUGGAAAACUUGAGUGCAGAAGAGGAAAGUGGAAUUCCAUGUGUAGCGGUGAAAUGCGCAGAGAUAUGGAGGAACACCAGUGGCGAAGGCGACUUUCUGGUCUGUAACUGACGCUGAUGUGCGAAAGCGUGGGGAUCAAACAGGAUUAGAUACCCUGGUAGUCCACGCCGUAAACGAUGAGUGCUAAGUGUUAGGGGGUUUCCGCCCCUUAGUGCUGCAGCUAACGCAUUAAGCACUCCGCCUGGGGAGUACGACCGCAAGGUUGAAACUCAAAGGAAUUGACGGGGACCCGCACAAGCGGUGGAGCAUGUGGUUUAAUUCGAAGCAACGCGAAGAACCUUACCAAAUCUUGACAUCCUUUGACAACUCUAGAGAUAGAGCCUUCCCCUUCGGGGGACAAAGUGACAGGUGGUGCAUGGUUGUCGUCAGCUCGUGUCGUGAGAUGUUGGGUUAAGUCCCGCAACGAGCGCAACCCUUAAGCUUAGUUGCCAUCAUUAAGUUGGGCACUCUAAGUUGACUGCCGGUGACAAACCGGAGGAAGGUGGGGAUGACGUCAAAUCAUCAUGCCCCUUAUGAUUUGGGCUACACACGUGCUACAAUGGACAAUACAAAGGGCAGCGAAACCGCGAGGUCAAGCAAAUCCCAUAAAGUUGUUCUCAGUUCGGAUUGUAGUCUGCAACUCGACUACAUGAAGCUGGAAUCGCUAGUAAUCGUAGAUCAGCAUGCUACGGUGAAUACGUUCCCGGG